rnacentral:rRNA from 1 species
UACGUAGGGUGCAAGCGUUGUCCGGAAUUAUUGGGCGUAAAGGGCUCGUAGGCGGUUUGUCGCGUCGGGAGUGAAACACCGGGCUUAACUCGGUGCUUGCUUUCGAUACGGGCAGACUAGAGGUAUGCAGGGGAGAACGGAAUUCCUGGUGUAGCGGUGAAAUGCGCAGAUAUCAGGAGGAACACCGGUGGCGAAGGCGGUUCUCUGGGCAUUACCUGACGCUGAGGAGCGAAAGUGUGGGGAGCGAACAGG